rnacentral:rRNA from 1 species
UUAAGCGACUAAGCGUACACGGUGGAUGCCCUGGCAGUCAGAGGCGAUGAAGGACGUGCUAAUCUGCGAUAAGCGUCGGUAAGGUGAUAUGAACCGUUAUAACCGGCGAUUUCCGAAUGGGGAAACCCAGUGUGUUUCGACACACUAUCAUUAACUGAAUCCAUAGGUUAAUGAGGCGAACCGGGGGAACUGAAACAUCUAAGUACCCCGAGGAAAAGAAAUCAACCGAGAUUCCCCCAGUAGCGGCGAGCGAACGGGGAGGAGCCCAGAGCCUGAAUCAGUGUGUGUGUUAGUGGAAGUGCCUGGAAAGGCGCGCGAUACAGGGUGACAGCCCCGUACACAAAAAUGCACAUGCUGUGAGCUCGAUGAGUAGGGCGGGACACGUGGUAUCCUGUCUGAAUAUGGGGGGACCAUCCUCCAAGGCUAAAUACUCCUGACUGACCGAUAGUGAACCAGUACCGUGAGGGAAAGGCGAAAAGAACCCCGGCGAGGGGAGUGAAAAAGAACCUGAAACCGUGUACGUACAAGCAGUGGGAGCACAGAGCAAUCUGUGUGACUGCGUACCUUUUGUAUAAUGGGUCAGCGACUUAUAUUCUGUAGCAAGGUUAACCGAAUAGGGGAGCCGAAGGGAAACCGAGUCUUAACUGGGCGUUAAGUUGCAGGGUAUAGACCCGAAACCCGGUGAUCUAGCCAUGGGCAGGUUGAAGGUUGGGUAACACUAACUGGAGGACCGAACCGACUAAUGUUGAAAAAUUAGCGGAUGACUUGUGGCUGGGGGUGAAAGGCCAAUCAAACCGGGAGAUAGCUGGUUCUCCCCGAAAGCUAUUUAGGUAGCGCCUCGUGAAUUCAUCUCCGGGGGUAGAGCACUGUUUCGGCAAGGGGGUCAUCCCGACUUACCAACCCGAUGCAAACUGCGAAUACCGGAGAAUGUUAUCACGGGAGACACACGGCGGGUGCUAACGUCCGUCGUGAAGAGGGAAACAACCCAGACCGCCAGCUAAGGUCCCAAAGUCAUGGUUAAGUGGGAAACGAUGUGGGAAGGCCCAGACAGCCAGGAUGUUGGCUUAGAAGCAGCCAUCAUUUAAGAAAGCGUAAUAGCUCACUGGUCGAGUCGGCCUGCGCGGAAGAUGUAACGGGGCUAAACCAUGCACCGAAGCUGCGGCAGCGACACUGUGUGUUGUUGGGUAGGGGAGCGUUCUGUAAGCCUGUGAAGGUGUGCUGUGAGGCAUGCUGGAGGUAUCAGAAGUGCGAAUGCUGACAUAAGUAACGAUAAAGCGGGUGAAAAGCCCGCUCGCCGGAAGACCAAGGGUUCCUGUCCAACGUUAAUCGGGGCAGGGUGAGUCGACCCCUAAGGCGAGGCCGAAAGGCGUAGUCGAUGGGAAACAGGUUAAUAUUCCUGUACUUGGUGUUACUGCGAAGGGGGGACGGAGAAGGCUAUGUUGGCCGGGCGACGGUUGUCCCGGUUUAAGCGUGUAGGCUGGUUUUCCAGGCAAAUCCGGAAAAUCAAGGCUGAGGCGUGAUGACGAGGCACUACGGUGCUGAAGCAACAAAUGCCCUGCUUCCAGGAAAAGCCUCUAAGCAUCAGGUAACAUCAAAUCGUACCCCAAACCGACACAGGUGGUCAGGUAGAGAAUACCAAGGCGCUUGAGAGAACUCGGGUGAAGGAACUAGGCAAAAUGGUGCCGUAACUUCGGGAGAAGGCACGCUGAUAUGUAGGUGAAGUCCCUCGCGGAUGGAGCUGAAAUCAGUCGAAGAUACCAGCUGGCUGCAACUGUUUAUUAAAAACACAGCACUGUGCAAACACGAAAGUGGACGUAUACGGUGUGACGCCUGCCCGGUGCCGGAAGGUUAAUUGAUGGGGUCAGCGCAAGCGAAGCUCUUGAUCGAAGCCCCGGUAAACGGCGGCCGUAACUAUAACGGUCCUAAGGUAGCGAAAUUCCUUGUCGGGUAAGUUCCGACCUGCACGAAUGGCGUAAUGAUGGCCAGGCUGUCUCCACCCGAGACUCAGUGAAAUUGAACUCGCUGUGAAGAUGCAGUGUACCCGCGGCAAGACGGAAAGACCCCGUGAACCUUUACUAUAGCUUGACACUGAACAUUGAGCCUUGAUGUGUAGGAUAGGUGGGAGGCUUUGAAGUGUGGACGCCAGUCUGCAUGGAGCCGACCUUGAAAUACCACCCUUUAAUGUUUGAUGUUCUAACGUGGACCCGUGAUCCGGGUUGCGGACAGUGUCUGGUGGGUAGUUUGACUGGGGCGGUCUCCUCCUAAAGAGUAACGGAGGAGCACGAAGGUUGGCUAAUCCUGGUCGGACAUCAGGAGGUUAGUGCAAUGGCAUAAGCCAGCUUGACUGCGAGCGUGACGGCGCGAGCAGGUGCGAAAGCAGGUCAUAGUGAUCCGGUGGUUCUGAAUGGAAGGGCCAUCGCUCAACGGAUAAAAGGUACUCCGGGGAUAACAGGCUGAUACCGCCCAAGAGUUCAUAUCGACGGCGGUGUUUGGCACCUCGAUGUCGGCUCAUCACAUCCUGGGGCUGAAGUAGGUCCCAAGGGUAUGGCUGUUCGCCAUUUAAAGUGGUACGCGAGCUGGGUUUAGAACGUCGUGAGACAGUUCGGUCCCUAUCUGCCGUGGGCGCUGGAGAACUGAGGGGGGCUGCUCCUAGUACGAGAGGACCGGAGUGGACGCAUCACUGGUGUUCGGGUUGUCAUGCCAAUGGCACUGCCCGGUAGCUAAAUGCGGAAGAGAUAAGUGCUGAAAGCAUCUAAGCACGAAACUUGCCCCGAGAUGAGUUCUCCCUGACCCUUUAAGGGUCCUGAAGGAACGUUGAAGACGACGACGUUGAUAGGCCGGGUGUGUAAGCGCAGCGAUGCGUUGAGCUAACCGGUACUAAUGAACCGUGAGGCUUAACCUU